rnacentral:rRNA from 1 species
UACGAAGGGGGCUAGCGUUAUUCGGAAUCACUGGGCGUAAAGCGCACGUAGGCGGAUCUUUAAGUCAGAGGUGAAAUCCCAAGGCUCAACCUUGGAACUGCCUUUGAUACUGGGGAUCUUGAGUCCGGGAGAGGUGAGUGGAACUGCGAGUGUAGAGGUGAAAUUCGUAGAUAUUCGCAAGAACACCAGUGGCGAAGGCGGCUCACUGGCCCGGUACUGACGCUGAGGUGCGAAAGCGUGGGGAGCAAACAGG